GAUCCUGGCUAAGGAUGAACGCUAGCGACAGGCUUAACACAUGCAAGUCGAGGGGCAGCGAGGGAGUGGCAACACUUCUGUCGGCGACCGGCGCACGGGUGAGUAACGCGUAUGCAACCUGCCCUUCACAGGGGGGAUAACCGGGAGAAAUUCCGACUAAUACCGCAUACGUCCUCCGGGGGCAUCCCCGGGGGAUGAAAGAAUUAUCGGUGAAGGAUGGGCAUGCGUGAUAUUAGGUAGUUGGCGGGGCAACGG
rnacentral:rRNA from 1 species